rnacentral:tRNA from 1 species
GCCCGGGUGGUGGAAUGGCAUACACAACAGACUUAAAAUCUGUCGCCGGUAACGGAUUGCGGGUUCGACUCCCGCUCCGGGCA